AGAGAGAGACAUGCGCGCAUAUCAAUAAGCGGAGGAAAAGAAACUAACAUAGGAUUCCCUCAGUAACGGCGAGUGAAGCGGGAAGAGCUCAAAUUUGAAAUCUUCAAGGUUCUACCUUGACGAAUUGUAGUUUAUAGAAGUGUUUUCUGUUAGGGAGUUUGGUAAAAGUUCUUUGGAAUAGGACAUCAUAGAGGGUGAGAAUCCCGUAUUUGACCAUUAUUUCCUAGCGUUGUGAUACACUUUCAAAGAGUCGGAUUGUUUGGGAAUGCAGUCCAAAAUGGGUGGUAAAUUUCAUCUAAAGCUAAAUAUUGGCGAGAGACCGAUAGCGAACAAGUACCGUGAGGGAAAGAUGAAAAGAACUUUGAAAAGAGAGUUAAACAGUACGUGAAAUUGUCAAAAGGGAAGCGUUUGACACCAGUGUUGUUUAGUUGAAAAUCAAUUCAAUAAGUUUUUGAUUCUGAGUAGUAUUGACUUCAUCAGCUUGCUGCUUUCUUCUCAGAAAUUAUUGAAUGCACUUUUCAGUUAACAAGUCAACAUCAAUUUCUUUUGUUGUAAAAGGGUAAGAGGAAGGUGGCUUGCGCUUCGGCUCAAGUGUUUAUAGCCUUGUGCUCUCUGCAAUCGGAGAGAUUGAGGUCUGCAGCGUAGAUCCUUCGGGGUUAGAUACAUUGGUGCUAAGUUAUAGCUUGUCAUAGACAACUUGUUGACUAUGCUUAGUCAUUGUAGCUUACUCGCUUAUGCUAUUUUACCUACGCUUAGGAUGUUGAUCUGUAGUGCGUGCGC
rnacentral:rRNA from 1 species